GGCUCUGUGGUGUAGUGGUUAUCACGCCUGUUUAACACGCAGAAGGUCGCGAGUUCGAACCUCGCCAGAACCU
rnacentral:tRNA from 1 species